UAAGUUUGAUGGCGACCGGCGCACGGGUGAGUAACACGUAUCCAACCUGCCGAUGACUCGGGGAUAGCCUUUCGAAAGAAAGAUUAAUACCCGAUGGCAUAGUUCUUCCGCAUGGUGGAACUAUUAAAGAAUUUCGGUCAUCGAUGGGGAUGCGUUCCAUUAGGUUGUUGGCGGGGUAACGGCCCACCAAGCCUUCGAUGGAUAGGGGUUCUGAGAGGAAGGUCCCCCACAUUGGAACUGAGACACGGUCCAAACUCCUACGGGAGGCAGCAUG
rnacentral:rRNA from 1 species